AGAAUCAACGCUGGCGGCGUGCCUAACACAUGCAAGUCGCACGAGAAAGGGACUUCGGUCCUGAGUAAAGUGGCGCACGGGUGAGUAACACGUGAAUCAUCUACCUCCGAAUGGGGAAUAACUGAGAGAAAUCUUAGCUAAUACCGCAUAAUACCUACGGGUCAAAGCAGCAAUGCGUUUGGAGAGGAGUUCGCGGUCGAUUAGUUAGUUGGCGGGGUAAUGGCCCACCAAGACGAUGAUCGAUAUCCGGCCUGAGAGGGCGCACGGACACACUGGAACUGAAACACGGUCCAGACUCCUACGGGAGGCAGCAGUGGGGAAUUUUGCGCAAUGGGGGAAACCCUGACGCAGCAACGCCGCGUGGAGGAUGAAGCCCCUUGGGUGUAAACUCCUUUCGAUCGGGAAGAUAAUGACGGUACCGAUAUAAGAAGCCCGGCUAACUUCGCGCCAGCAGCCGC
rnacentral:rRNA from 1 species